rnacentral:rRNA from 1 species
AUUGAACGCUGGCGGCAUGCUUUACACAUGCGAGUCGAACGGCAGCGCGGGCUUCGGCCUGGCGGCGAGUGGCGAACGGGUGAGUAAUGCAUCGGAACGUGCCCAGUAGUGGGGGAUAGCCCGGCGAAAGCCGGAUUAAUACCGCAUACGACCUGAGGGUGAAAGCGGGGGACCGAAAGGCCUCGCGCUAUUGGAGCGGCCGAUGUCGGAUUAGCUAGUUGGUGGGGUAAAGGCUCACCAAGGCGACGAUCCGUAGCUGGUCUGAGAGGACGACCAGCCACACUGGGACUGAGACACGGCCCAGACUCCUACGGGAGGCAGCAGUGGGGAAUUUUGGACAAUGGGGGCAACCCUGAUCCAGCCAUGCCGCGUGCGGGAAGAAGGCCUUCGGGUUGUAAACCGCUUUUGUUCGGGAAGAAAUCCUCUGGGCUAAUACCCCGGGGGGAUGACGGUACCGGAAGAAUAAGCACCGGCUAACUACGUG